ACAUUUAUGCACCGUUUCUUCAUUGGUGGCUGGGCACCGCGGCUGCAUCCUCUUCUUCGUGGCAUGGCACAGUAAUUGCAGGUUCAUCAGUCAGGUGGUCAGCACCCAAACUAAAACCAUACGUCAUGGUGGCCAGGAAUUGCAUCCCAGCAGCACAGAUGGGGGAGCCAACAUGAAGAGGUGUCCAGAGAGGCUUCUUCCUCUUUGGCUUUGCAGCAGCACCAGGACCUCACCAUCAGUGAUGCUGUUCAUCCAUCGGGCCUACCCUUACAUUCCUCCCCUGAUGCACUGAUCACCUGUACCAGUUGUUGGAGUUUUCAGAAGGGCUCUAAAUUAACUUUUUUUAUUCACUAGUAGCCAAAAUGGCUAGUAUGUUAAUCUCCAAACAUAC